rnacentral:rRNA from 1 species
UACGAAGGGGGCUAGCGUUGCUCGGAAUCACUGGGCGUAAAGGGUGCGUAGGCGGGUCUUUAAGUCAGGGGUGAAAUCCUGGAGCUCAACUCCAGAACUGCCUUCGAUACUGGAGAGCUCGAGUCCGGGAGAGGUGAGUGGAACUGCGAGUGUAGAGGUGAAAUUCGUAGAUAUCGCAAGAACACCAGUGGCGAAGGCGGCUCACUGGCCCGGUACUGACGCUGAGGCGCGAAAGCUAGGGGAGCAAACGGG